GUCGACGCUUGUGUCGCGAUUCAACUGAUUUGAAGAGCUUGCUCAGAUAUGACGAUGGACAUUGCAAAGAGUGGCGAACGGGUGAGUAACACGUGGGAAACCUACCUCUUAGCAGGGGAUAACAUUUGGAAACAGAUGCUAAUACCGUAUAACAAUGACAACCGCAUGGUUGUUAUUUAAAAGAUGGUUCUGCUAUCACUAAGAGAUGGUCCCGCGGUGCAUUAGCUAGUUGGUAAGGUAAUGGCUUACCAAGGCGAUGAUGCAUAGCCGAGUUGAGAGACUGAUCGGCCACAAUGGGACUGAGACACGGCCCAUACUCCUACGGGAGGCAGCAGUAGGGAAUCUUCCACAAUGGGCGAAAGCCUGAUGGAGCAACGCCGCGUGUGUGAUGAAGGGUUUCGGCUCGUAAAACACUGUUGUAAGAGAAGAAUGACAUUGAGAGUAACUGUUCAAUGUGUGACGGUAUCUUACCAGAAAGGAACGGCUAAAUACGUGCCAGCAGCCGCGGUAAUACGUAUGUUCCAAGCGUUAUCCGGAUUUAUUGGGCGUAAAGCGAGCGCAGACGGUUAUUUAAGUCUGAAGUGAAAGCCCUCAGCUCAACUGAGGAAUUGCUUUGGAAACUGGAUGACUUGAGUGCAGUAGAGGAAAGUGGAACUCCAUGUGUAGCGGUGAAAUGCGUAGAUAUAUGGAAGAACACCAGUGGCGAAGGCGGCUUUCUGGACUGUAACUGACGUUGAGGCUCGAAAGUGUGGGUAGCAAACAGGAUUAGAUACCC
rnacentral:rRNA from 1 species